AGUGAACGCUGGCGGUAGGCCUAACACAUGCAAGUCGAACGGCGGCACAGUAAGAGCUUGCUCUUACGGGUGGCGAGUGGCGGACGGGUGAGGAAUACAUCGGAAUCUACUUUUUCGUGGGGGAUAACGUAGGGAAACUUACGCUAAUACCGCAUACGACCUACGGGUGAAAGCAGGGGAUCUUCGGACCUUGCGCGAUUGAAUGAGCCGAUGUCGGAUUAGCUAGUUGGCGGGGUAAAGGCCCACCAAGGCGACGAUCCGUAGCUGGUCUGAGAGGAUGAUCAGCCACACUGGAACUGAGACACGGUCCAGACUCCUACGGGAGGCAGCAGUGGGGAAUAUUGGACAAUGGGCGCAAGCCUGAUCCAGCCAUACCGCGUGGGUGAAGAAGGCCUUCGGGUUGUAAAGCCCUUUUGCUGGGAAAGAAAAGCAGCAGGUUAAUACCCCGCUGUUCUGACGGUACCCAAAGAAUAAGCACCGGCUAACUUCGUG
rnacentral:rRNA from 1 species